rnacentral:rRNA from 1 species
AUUGAACGCUGGCGGCAUGCCUUACACAUGCAAGUCGAACGGCAGCACGGGAGCAAUCCUGGUGGCGAGUGGCGAACGGGUGAGUAAAGCAUCGGAACAUGCCCAGUCGUGGGGGAUAACGUAGCGAAAGUUACGCUAAUACCGCAUACGAUCGAUGGAUGAAAGCGGGGGACCGUAAGGCCUCGCGCGAUCGGAGUGGCCGAUGUCAGAUUAGGUAGUUGGUGGGGUAAAAGCCUACCAAGCCGACGAUCUGUAGCUGGUCUGAGAGGACGACCAGCCACACUGGGACUGAGACACGGCCCAGACUCCUACGGGAGGCAGCAGUGGGGAAUUUUGGACAAUGGGCGCAAGCCUGAUCCAGCCAUGCCGCGUGCGGGAAGAAGGCCUUCGGGUUGUAAACCGCUUUUGUACGGAGCGAAACGGCGAUUUCUAAUACAAAUCGCUAAUGACGGUACCGUAAGAAUAAGCACCGGCUAACUACGUGCCAGCCGCCGCGGUAACAC